AUACUUACCUGGACAAGGUCGAUGGGUGAUCAGGAAGGUCCAUGGCCUAGAGUUGGUGACCUCCAUUGCACGUAGGAGGGGUGCCACUCUAUGGUCUCCCCAAGAGGGAGAACCAAUGUCGUAAUUUGUGUCAGCGGGGGCCUGCGUUCGCGCGGCCCCUGA